UACGGGGGGAGCAAGCGUUGUUCGGAUUUACUGGGCGUACAGGGAGCGUAGGCGGUUGGAUAAGCCCUCCGUGAAAUCUCCAGGCUUAACCUGGAAAGUGCAGAGGGGACUGUUCAGCUAGAGGAUGGGAGAGGAGCGCGGAAUUCCCGGUGUAGCGGUGAAAUGCGUAGAGAUCGGGAGGAAGGCCGGUGGCGAAGGCGGCGCUCUGGAACAUUUCUGACGCUGAGGCUCGAAAGCGUGGGGGAGCAAACAGGG
rnacentral:rRNA from 1 species